rnacentral:rRNA from 1 species
CGCCGGGUCAUAAACCGGAGGAAGGUGGGGAUGACGUCAAGUCAGCAUGGCCUUUAUAUCCUGGGCUACACACACGCUACAAUGGGAAGGGACAAUAGGUUGCGAAGCCGCGAGGCGGAGCCAAUCCAGCAAAACUUCCCUCAGUUCAGAUUGCAGGCUGCAACUCGCCUGCAUGAAGUUGGAGUUGCUAGUAAACGCAGGUCAGCCAUACUGCGUUGAAUACGUUCCCGGGGCUU